rnacentral:rRNA from 1 species
GACGAACGCUGGCGGCGUGCUUAACACAUGCAAGUCGAACGGAAAGGCCCUGCUUUUGUGGGGUGCUCGAGUGGCGAACGGGUGAGUAACACGUGAGUAACCUGCCCUUGACUUUGGGAUAACUUCAGGAAACUGGGGCUAAUACCGGAUAGGAGCUCCUGCUGCAUGGUGGGGGUUGGAAAGUUUCGGCGGUUGGGGAUGGACUCGCGGCUUAUCAGCUUGUUGGUGGGGUAGUGGCUUACCAAGGCUUUGACGGGUAGCCGGCCUGCGAGGGUGACCGGCCACAUUGGGACUGAGAUACGGCCCAGACUCCUACGGGAGGCAGCAGUGGAGAAUAUUGCACAAUGGGCUGAAGCCUGAUGCAGCAACGCCGCGUGCGGGAUGACGGCCUUCGGGUUGUAUACCGCUUUCGCCUGUGACGAAGCGUGAGUGACGGUAAUGGGUAAAGAAGCACCGGCUAACUACGUG